CCUACGGGUGGCAGCAGUGAGGAAUAUUGGUCAAUGGGCGCGAGCCUGAACCAGCCAAGUCGCGUGAAGGAUGACUGCCCUACGGGUUGUAAACUUCUUUUGUAAAGGAAUAAAGUGAGGCACGUGUGCCUUUUUGUAUGUACUUUAUGAAUAAGCAUCGGCUAACUCCGUGCCAGCAGCCGCGGUAAUACGGAGGAUCCGAGCGUUAUCCGGAUUUAUUGGGUUUAAAGGGAGCGUAGAUGGGUUGUUAAGUCAGUUGUGAAAGUUUGCGGCUCAACCGUAAAAUUGCAAUUGAUACUGGCAGCCUUGAGUAGAGGAGAGGUAGGCGGAAUGCGUGGUGUAGCGGUGAAAUGCUUAGAUAUCACGAAGAACUCCGAUUGCGAAGGCAGCUUACUAAACUGCCACUGACAUUGAUGCUCGAAAGUGUGGGUAUCAAACAGGAUUAGAUACCCUAGUAGUC
rnacentral:rRNA from 1 species